GAGCCUUCCAGACGAAGAGUCCGCCCUCCAUGUCGGCGCCGUAGGAGGGGUUCAAUCGCCAACAUCUAGAUGCGGCGGAGGAGAUCGCCGGCACGCUCCCGCUCGCCCUCCCGUGGCUUCGCCCCCUGAUCGGCCUGUACCUCCACCCAGUAUUGCGUCGUCUUCGUGGGGACGAGGCGGCGCUGGUCAGCGACAACGACGGCGACUACAGUCCUCGCUCCACAGCCUCCCUCUCUGCACCGCGUCGCCGCUUCUCACAGGUAUCUGUUUCUGCUGCAUUUGAAGGACAACUUUAGGACUGCAAUGGCGCUUCAAUAUAACCAAAGAUUUAGAUAAAACAGGCUAGUCUCCCCGAGAACAAGGAAUUGCUAGAAUCCCUUAACUCGGAACAAAAAGACAGUGGAUGUUACGUUUAUGAAGAAUGGUCCUUUUAUUUUCUUGCAAGGAAACAAGUUUAAGCACUUAAAAAGGCUGGAAGGGAAUCUGAAAUGGAUCACCACUUUGGCUUUUCAGAUGGUGAUGGAAUAAGGGAAAAACACAGUGGCGAAGAGAGUCAAGUACAGUUUAUUUGAUGAUCAUCAAGGAGGAAGAGAUUAAUAUUUCUUAUUUGUAGGAGGAAGAGAUUUUAAAAAGGACACCAUGACAAGCAGCAGGCAAGCAGCUUAUUGAAGCAUGUAACUGGCACCGCAAGUUUGCAAGGCUAUGCGGAUAGCUUGUUGGAUGCGACAGCCAGACAUUUUGGUUCAGCACUGUCUGCUCAGCCUGAAGAAAAUGGGUACUCAGUCCUUUCCUCUUGUCUGGAACCGGAAUAAUUGGGCUCAAGGGCCAUGUCACCACUGUCUAUUUCUGAUCUACAAGGUGAUUCUUCCUGGUUCAAGGGCCACGGCAUGCUGGCGCCUUUUACAGCUGGCUGGCAGAGCCAUGAUUUGCACCCUCUGAUCAUUGAGAGAUCUGAGGGUUCCUAUGUCUAUGACAUUAAUGGGAACAAGUAUCUGGACUCUCUUGCAAGAUUAUGGUGCACAACUUUAGGUAUGUGCACGCGACUUUUGUGUUUGUUUCUGGGCUUUAGCAAUGUCUUUGCACCUGUCACUUCUGCAUCAUCUGUGUUCGUUAUGUCUUUAGGUGGUAGCGAGCCUCGAUUAGUCAAAGCAGCAACUGAGGGUGCAUGGUUAUGUUGUGCGAUUAGAUCCAUCUAUGAAUUGUUUGUGCUUCUACAUUUAGGAACAAUGGGCAAUUAGGAUUUUUUAUGUAUGUUUUGAAUGAUUCUUAAUUGUUGCAGUAACAGUGACAAGAUAGGUUGUUUAAUUAUGUCCUCAUUGCAAUAUCAUUGGUAAAGUAGGCAGUAGUCAUAGGAUAUUCUGUACCAAGGUUGCUUUUUAUAUGAAUUACUUGAACUAAAUAACAACAAUGUAUGAUCUGUCUAGGAAUAAGAUUGUUUAUAUCAUAUUGUAUACAUGCUGAAAGUAGCAGCAAGCAGCAGAUUUCCUAAACUAUGUUCCCAAGUAGUUCACAUGUAAUUGUGUGUUCUUGAAGUGCAGAGCAAUCCACCACAACCACGACGCGAAGGACUCCAAGCUACAAUUUCUGCAUCACUAAAACAAAAAAACAACAGUAAUGCAUCCAAGGUGCUCACUCAGGUCCUUCUGUUCUCUUAAAAUUUUAUAUGUGUAAAAUAUCAUGCUGACUGUAGUUAAUAAUCAAGUGCAUUAGUCCUAGGAAAGCUUUGGGCAUUUGGUGAGGAGCGCAAGCAAAAUACGGCAAAAACAUCAUGGCUGGUGUCUAAAUUUGUUUCCAAUCUUCCUAUCACUAAUGCGUUGCCCUUGCACUAUUGGGCUCACCUUGCCAUGCCAUGCUGGGGCAGUGCAGUUGUGAAGGCUUAGAGCUGAAGUUUGGGAGUUGAAGGCAAAGAGGCAGGGACUAUGUGCAGAAAUACGAAAUAAUGAUUAGAUCAGUCUAGGCUAUACAUGCUUCCCAUUGUAUGAAUUUUUGUGCUAUAAUAUUUUUCCUUCCCCUU